GAUCCUGGCUCAGAUUGAACGCUGGCUGCAGGCUUAACACAUGCAAGUCGAACGGUAACAGCGGAAAGCUUGCUUUCUUGCUGACGAGUGGCGGACGGGUGAGUAAUGCUUGGGAAUCUGGCUUAUGGAGGGGGAUAACGACGGGAAACUGUCGCUAAUACCGCGUAGAAUCGAGAGAUGAAAGUGUGGGACCGCAAGGCCGCAUGCCAUGAGAUGAGCCCAAGUGGGA
rnacentral:rRNA from 1 species